rnacentral:rRNA from 1 species
UACAUAGGGUGCAAGCGUUAAUCGGAAUUACUGGGCGUAAAGCGUGCGCAGGCGGUUUUGUAAGUCAGAUGUGAAAUCCCCGGGCUUAACCUGGGAACUGCGUUUGAAACUACAAGGCUAGAGUGUGACAGAGGGGGGUGGAAUUCCACGUGUAGCAGUGAAAUGCGUAGAGAUGUGGAGGAACACCGAUGGCGAAGGCAGCCCCCUGGGUUAACACUGACGCUCAGGCACGAAAGCGUGGGGAGCAAACAGG